rnacentral:ribozyme from 1 species
UGAAGUGGAGGGCGAGAGGUGUGUCUACGGCGGUUCCCCUGUUGUCCGCCCCGAUCGCAUCCCCAAACACAGGGACGAAACGUAUCAGGUUCGACGCUUGGACGAUGUAGAAGUGUUUGCG